rnacentral:rRNA from 1 species
CCUACGGGUGGCUGCAGUGAGGAAUAUUGGUCAAUGGCCGGAAGGCUGAACCAGCCAUGCCGCGUGAAGGUCAGUGCCCUAUGGGCGUUAAACUUCUUUUGUGCGGGAGCAAUAAUGGUCACGUGUGGCCAGACGAGAGUACCGUACGAAUAAGCAUCGGCUAACUCCGUGCCAGCAGCCGCGGGUAUACUGGGGAUGCACGCGUUAUCCGGGUUUAUUGGGUUUAAAGGGUGCGUAGGCUGGGAGCUAAGUCAGCGGUGACAUGCCCCCGCUUAACGGGGUGUAGGGCCAUUGAUACUGCCUUGCUGGAAUGCGGAUGCCGUGGGAGGAAGGUGUGGUGUAGCGGUGAAAUGCAUAGAUAUCACACAGAACACCGAUUGCGAAGGCAUCUCACGAAUCCGCGAUUGACGCUGAUGCACGAAAGCGUGGGUAUCAAACAGGAUUAGAUACCCCAGUAGUC